UACGAAGGGUGCAAGCGUUAAUCGGAAUUACUGGGCGUAAAGCGCGCGUAGGUGGUUCAGUAAGUUGGAAGUGAAAUCCCCGGGCUCAACCUGGGAACUGCUUUCAAAACUGCUGAGCUAGAGUACGGUAGUGGGUGGUGGAAUUUCCUGUGUAGCGGUGAAAUGCGUAGAUAUAGGAAGGAACACCAGUGGCGAAGGCGACCACCUGGACUGAUACUGACACUGAGGUGCGAAAGCGUGGGGAGCAAACAGG
rnacentral:rRNA from 1 species